UACGGAGGGUGCAAGCGUUAUCCGGAUUCACUGGGUUUAAAGGGUACGUAGGUGGGCAGGUAAGUCAGUGGUGAAAUCUUUGGGCUUAACCCGAAAACUGCCGUUGAUACUAUCUGUCUUGAAUAUAGUGGAGGUGAGCGGAAUAUGUCAUGUAGCGGUGAAAUGCUUAGAUAUGACAUAGAACAUCGAUUGCGAAGGCAGCUCGCUACACUAUGAUUGACACUGAGGCACGAAAGCGUGGGGAUCAAACAGG
rnacentral:rRNA from 1 species